UACAGAGGUCCCGAGCGUUGUUCGGAUUCACUGGGCGUAAAGGGUGCGUAGGCGGUGGGGUAAGUCGGAUGUGAAAUCUCGGAGCUCAACUCCGAAAUGGCAUUGGAAACUACACUGCUGGAGGUUUGGAGGGGGGACUGGAAUUCUCGGUGUAGCAGUGAAAUGCGUAGAUAUCGAGAGGAACACCAGUGGCGAAGGCGAGUCCCUGGACAAAACCUGACACUGAGGCACGAAAGCUAGGGGAGCAAACAGG
rnacentral:rRNA from 1 species